GGUUAAGUUAUUAAGGGCGCAUGGUGGAUGCCUUGGCACUAGGAGCCGAUGAAGGACGGGACUAACACCGAUAUGCUUCGGGGAGCUGUAAGUAAGCUUUGAUCCGGAGAUUUCCGAAUGGGGGAACCCAACUUGUUAUGCAAGUUAUCACCUAAUGAAUAUAUAGUUAGGUUGAAGGUAGACGUUGUGAACUGAAACAUCUCAUUAGCAACAGGAAUAGAAAGAAAAAUCGAUUCCGCCAGUAGCGGCGAGCGAAAACGGAAGAGCCCAAACCAAAGUGCUUGCACUUUGGGGUUGUAGGACUGCCAUUGUGGAGUUACAAAAUUGUUUAUUAGCAGAAUCAGCUGGGAAGCUGAGCGAGACAGGGUGAUAGCCCCGUAUGCGAAAGUAAGCAAUCUCCCGUGCAGGAUCCUGAGUACGGCCGGACACGUGAAAUCCGGUCGGAAUCCGCGAGGACCAUCUCGCAAGGCUAAAUACUCCCUAGUGACCGAUAGUGAACCAGUACCGUGAGGGAAAGG
rnacentral:rRNA from 1 species